AUGCAAACAAACCGUUCAACAACAACAACACGAGGAAACAUGCGUGAAAAGGCAAACAAACAAUAUUUGUAAACACGAGAACAACUGCUGGCGGUACACAUUAUAAGAAGAUCACUUUAUUGGACGAGAAGUUGUUAUGCCUACAAAUUUCAGACGUUGCAUCUUGAAGACAGCGAUCACUUCAUGAUCAUUCUCACAGGAAAGUGAAGAGAAAAUGGCCAACAGGGAGUGUAUAUUGGGAAAAUUGAAACCUUUCAAAGCAACUGAUGAGUACUACAAUCUUCUGCCAGAGGAUGAAGCAGCAACCCCCAAGUCAUUCACAAGAUUACAAAAGGGCUAUGAAUUGUUUUUUUUUUUUCUUUUUUAUUUGGCAAGCACAAUUCUGCUGCCAAAACCAAGAAUGCCUUCACAAUUAGCUUCGAAUAUGAUAAUGGAGAACAGUGAAAGUUUUUGUUAGUAAGAAAAUCAGUCUUGGAGAGGAAGGAAAGAGAUCCGUGAUAACAGAUGAUACCUUAAAGCACUAUCUAGAUAAAUAUAUGUGCAAGUAAUCUCGCAUCAACAAAUAUGUGUCGUAACAGUGAGAAAGCUCAUUUUCAAAAGUGUGUUUUUGGAUAUCAGACCAACCAUGACAUUUAUAAACAGUCCUCCAGAGUUGGUUGAACACAGUACAUGUACAUUAGUCCGGAGGAUUUAAUCAUAACUGCCACCAACAAAGUUGAAGUGGUUUUUACUGGUUUGAAAUGUGAGGUGUAAUCAUA